UCGACGCUUCUUUCCUCCCGAGUGCUUGCACUCAAUUGGAAAGAGGAGUGGCGGACGGGUGAGUAACACGUGGGUAACCUACCCAUCAGAGGGGGAUAACACUUGGAAACAGGUGCUAAUACCGCAUAACAGUUUAUGCCGCAUGGCAUAAGAGUGAAAGGCGCUUUCGGGUGUCGCUGAUGGAUGGACCCGCGGUGCAUUAGCUAGUUGGUGAGGUAACGGCUCACCAAGGCCACGAUGCAUAGCCGACCUGAGAGGGUGAUCGGCCACACUGGGACUGAGACACGGCCCAGACUCCUACGGGAGGCAGCAGUAGGGAAUCUUCGGCAAUGGACGAAAGUCUGACCGAGCAACGCCGCGUGAGUGAAGAAGGUUUUCGGAUCGUAAAACUCUGUUGUUAGAGAAGAACAAGGACGUUAGUAACUGAACGUCCCCUGACGGUAUCUAACCAGAAAGCCACGGCUAACUACGUGCCAGCAGCCGCGGUAAUACGUAGGUGGCAAGCGUUGUCCGGAUUUAUUGGGCGUAAAGCGAGCGCAGGCGGUUUCUUAAGUCUGAUGUGAAAGCCCCCGGCUCAACCGGGGAGGGUCAUUGGAAACUGGGAGACUUGAGUGCAGAAGAGGAGAGUGGAAUUCCAUGUGUAGCGGUGAAAUGCG
rnacentral:rRNA from 1 species